AAAACCUACAAAAGAAAGAAAUGUCUGGAUUUUACAAACACCUGAAUGGGUAAAAAAGGAUCAGGACCCUUCCAUCAAAGGCAGUUCCACAUAGAUCCCCCAAGUAUUCAGAGACAAGCUGAAAGCUAAACUUCAGGUCAUCAAUGACACUAAUGUAAGCAGCACAAGACAAAGAAGCAGCGUAAGGCAAAGCAGAAUGGGAAAAGGGAUGAAGCAGAGAAGUAAAGGAAAGAAGAGAGAAUGAAGAAGAGGAAGGGCUGCUCAGCAUACAUUUUUCAGCACUCCAUCAUCUGCCUCCACAUUGCUCAGUUACUUGCUGUAGUUUGCUCUUUCAGCGCCGAGUGCUCUGGACUUCCUCCACAUUCAAACUCUACCUAAUCAAACUCUCCACAAACUUCUGCAGAACAAGACUGGGGCUGGUCUCUGCUGCAACGAUAAGGAAAAGUUUGCCUUUGGUGGAACAUAAAUAUUUCCCGAAAUGAAGCAUCCAUUUGUUUUAUCAAGGUACAAAAUAGGACAGAUUUAAGAGCAUGCAUAAGCAUUUUGUUGAAUUGAGGCCGCAGAAAUCAAUGGCAGUUUUGUGGAAAACUGAGUACCGCAUACAUUGCUUAAAUGCUUGCUCUGUAGGGUGGACUCUCUAAUGACUUUCUGUCUGUAGUUAAGGAAAGUGUGCUUUUUCUGAAAAAUUGACACUGUCCCAUAACUUCCACAGUCACAGCUUGCUUUAUUUUAUCCUCUUCUGUGCAUCUUGGCUGCAAGACAGGGGGUUUCCGCCCAUGACCUCUGUCUCCCCAGCCUUAUUCCUUCCAAAGGGAGAUCUUCUCUUCCUCUUGCUCGUUUGCAGGGCAGGUGUCUAAGAGACGUCUGUUAUCUCCUAGAACGACUCCCUUGCCUCUUUAAUCUAAACGUCCUUAUUCUAGGCAGCUCUAUCCUGAGGAGUAGGUGAUUGGUUUCUUAAAAAAUGGUUUUUUGUUCCUCAAUCUACUGUCUGUCAUUCAGAGUUUUAUACUAAACGCCAUCAUAACGGUGUCUGAGCCUGAUAUUUAUCAUCCACUAGUUGGGCUUUAUGGACACUGUGUUGUCUCCCCAUGUGUGGUAGGGAGAAGGGCUGUAUGCGCACUGCUUUGAGAAGCAUUGUGUUUUCCUCGGUACUUUCUAUUUUAGCUGGUUAGUGUUACAAGUGUCGCUGCUGGAGUGGGAGACAUCAAUAAAGAGGACAGUUCAGAAGUGUUUCCCAAUCCAGUCUCGGUCAGUCCUGAUCUCUCCCAUUCAUGCCCAUGCCACCACCGCUAGAUGAAGGAUGCCUUGUUGUCAACACUCACGAGCUUCAUCCUGGGCUUACUGAUCUGGCUUUUUCUGUGAAUUAAGGAUCUCCAUUAUCUAUUCGCUGUUAGCACCAGGGGGGUUACUGUGAUAUUUUAGACAAAGCCCUCUUUUGAGAUUUACUGCUUAGCUUCAGUUCUUUCAAGUCUCCUUUGAUGUAGAGGGAAGUAACUGCAACUUUCCACACUUCUUAAUAACAGUAUUAGCUGAUUGUAGGUAUGUCACGUGGCAGGGCUGUCAGCUAUCGUAUGUAUGCACAGCUGGGUAACAUCCACAGAACUGGCUCUGUAGCAGGUGAUAGCAGGCUUGACAGCCCAGUUUAGCAGGAUUAAAGCAUUUCUCCAUUAUUUUCAAUAGAUGCAACAAAACCAUUUUGAAGUGAUUUUUCGUAAGUAACAGUUUUGAAAGUAUUCACCACCUCAGGAAGUAGAAAGGCAAUCCUUUAAACCAAGAAUCACCGGAGAGGAGAAACUAAAAUAAAAUGAAGUCUUGGAUGAGGAGUUUGUGGUAUUCAGGGGCUGGGUAUGCUGGCAACAGGCCCUCUAAGGAGGGAGCUGCUGAUAAUCAAGACGUGCAAGCUGCUGCUGAGCACCUGAAGGCUCGCAUGACUUCAAACAGCAGCAGAGGCAGGGGGAAUAAAAGGGAGCAGGCGAUACUGUGUAUGCUGUGAGCUGCUAGAAUGGGAGUUUGAUAACAAAGGGUUAUUUCCUCCUAGUAAAUUUGAUGGAGCAUGUACCGAUUUUUAUUCCUUUCAGUAAGGAUUGUAUGAUUUUUCCAGCCUUUCUCCAAAGGUGGUUUAUCCUGGCUUGUUAGACUUUGUAUGAAAACACACAAAGUGCUCCAGCAGGCACCUUGUCUCGCCUGGGAGGCAGCUACUAACAGUUUAGAGACAGCAAGGUGCAGGCUUUUAAACUGCCUCUCUUUGCUCGCCAUCUAGUUCUGCUUUGUGGUAAUGCAUCUAUUCACGGAAGGGUAGAAGAGAACAGAAGGGCAAUUUUAAUAAAUGUGCUAAAAAUUUACAAGAUGUGUGAAUGUGCAUAUGUUAAUGAAAGUAGUGCAGGUGAAACAAUGGCAUGUUAAUUGGCACACCAGCCCUGAGCACAGGACUGGGAGCACAACCGAAUGGCCAUGUUGACAGACCCUAUUUGUUGUUACCAUGUAAUUUGCCGUAGUUUUGCUGCCUUCAUAUUGUAUCUGGGCUGGUUUGUUUCUAUGUUUUGUAAAAGUAUUGAUGCUUUUUUGUAUCCAAGUGUUUAAGAAAAAGUGAAUUCCUUACCUGUGAGUUUCUUCAUCUCAGCAUUUAUUUCACCUAUA